UACAGAGGGGGCAAGCGUUAUUCGGAAUUAUUGGGCGUAAAGGGCGCGUAGGCGGCUUGGCAAGUGGAUGGUGAAAUCCCUCGGCUUAACCGAGGAACUGCCGUCCAAACUGCUUCGCUUGAGACCGGGAGAGGUGAGUGGAAUUCCCAGUGUAGCGGUGAAAUGCGUAGAUAUUGGGAGGAACACCAGUGGCGAAGGCGGCGUUCUGGACUGUAACUGACACUGAUGAACGAAAGCCAGGGUAGCAAACGGG
rnacentral:rRNA from 1 species